rnacentral:rRNA from 1 species
AAAUGAAUUGACGGGGGCCCGCACAAGCAGCGGAGCGUGUGGUUUAAUUCGACGCAACGCGCAAAACCUUACCAGGGUUUGACAUCCUCGGAAUCUGGCAGAAGUGCUGGAGUGCCUGCAAGGGAGCCGAGAGACAGGUGUUGCAUGGCUGUCGUCAGCUCGUGUCGUGAGAUGUUGGGUUAAGUCCCGCAACGAGCGCAACCCCCGUGGUCAGUUACAUGGUUGUCUGACCAGACUGCCGGAAGCAAACCGGAGGAAGGCGGGGAUGAUGUCAAGUCAGCAUGGCCCUUACACCCUGGGCUACACACACGCUACAAUGGCCGAGACAAUGGGUUGCCAAGCAGCAAUGCGGAGCCAAUCCCUCAAACUCGGUCUCAGUUCAGAUUGUGGGCUGAAACUCGCCCACAUGAAGACGGAGUUGCUAGUAACCGCCGGUCAGCAAUACGGCGGUGAAUAUGUUCCCGGGCCUUGUACACACCGCCCGU